rnacentral:rRNA from 1 species
GACGAACGCUGGCGGCGUGCUUAACACAUGCAAGUCGAACGGAAAGGCCCCUUCGGGGGUACUCGAGUGGCGAACGGGUGAGUAACACGUGGGUGAUCUGCCCUGCACUUCGGGAUAAGCUUGGGAAACUGGGUCUAAUACCGGAUAUACCUCAUGGGAUGCAUGUCUUGUGGGGGAAAGCUUUUGCGGUGUGGGAUGGGCCCGCGGCCUAUCAGCUUGUUGGUGGGGUGAUGGCCUACCAAGGCGUCGACGGGUAGCCGGCCUGAGAGGGUGUCCGGCCACACUGGGACUGAGAUACGGCCCAGACUCCUACGGGAGGCAGCAGUGGGGAAUAUUGCACAAUGGGCGCAAGCCUGAUGCAGCGACGCCGCGUGGGGGAUGACGGCCUUCGGGUUGUAAACCUCUUUCAGUAGGGACGAAGCGCAAGUGACGGUACCUACAGAAGAAGCACCGGCCAACUACGUGCCAGCAGCCGCAGUAACAC